rnacentral:rRNA from 1 species
UACGUAGGGUGCAAGCGUUGUCCGGAAUUAUUGGGCGUAAAGGGCGCGUAGGCGGCAUGGCAAGUGGAAGGUGAAAUCCCUCGGCUUAACCGAGGAACUGCCCUCCAAACUGCUUUGCUUGAGGCCGGGAGAGGCGAGUGGAAUUCCCAGUGUAGCGGUGAAAUGCGUAGAUAUUGGGAGGAACACCAGUGGCGAAGGCGGCUCGCUGGACCGGUUCUGACGCUGAUGCGCGAAAGCGUGGGGAGCAAACGGGG